rnacentral:ncRNA from 2 species
CGCGCCGGCUCAGACUGUCGCGACAACUCCACCAACGCGUGUGUGCGGGGGAAGUCCGGUCAAAAUCCGGCGCUGGCCCGCAACGGUAGGCCGUCGAGCGCAUCCUGCGACGGCAAGCCCGAAUACCCGCCACACUCGCGAACCCCUA